rnacentral:rRNA from 1 species
GAAACGGAAACUAAAACCGGAUAGGUAAUAGAGAAGCAUUUCUGUAUUAUUAAAGAAGCCUCAAAGCUUUGAACAUGGAUGGACCUGCGGUGCAUUAGCUAGUUGGUAAGGUAACGGCCUACCAAGGCGACGAUGCAUAGCCGACCUGAGAGGGCGAACGGCCACAUUGGGACUGAGACACGGCCCAAACUCCUACGGGAGGCAGCAGUAGGGAAUUUUCGUCAAUGGGGGGAACCCUGAACGAGCAAUGCCGCGUGAGUGAAGACGGUCUUCGGAUUGUAAAGCUCUGUUGUGAGAGAAAAAGGAUAUAUAUAGGAAAUGAUAUGUAUUUGAUGGUAUCUCACCAGAAAGUCACGGCUAACUACGUGCCAGCAGCCGCGGUAAUACGUAGGUGGCGAGCGUUAUCCGGAAUGAUUGGGCGUAAAGGGUACGUAGGCGGCAUGAUAAGUCUGGAGUGAAAGGCUACAGCUCAACUGUAGUAUGCUCUGGAAACUGUCAAGCUAGAGUGCAGAAGAGGGCAAUGGAACUCCAUGUGUAGCGGUAAAAUGCGUAGAUAUAUGGAAGAACACCGGUGGCGAAGGCGGUUGCCUGGUCUGAAACUGACGCUGAAGUACGAAAGCGUGGGGAGCAAAUAGGAUUAGAUACCCUAGUAGUCCACGCCGUAAACGAUGAGAACUAGGUGUUGGGGGAAUAACUCAGUGCC